GACGAACGCUGGCGGCGUGCUUAACACAUGCAAGUCGAACGGAAAGGCCCUGCUUUUGUGGGGUGCUCGAGUGGCGAACGGGUGAGUAUCACGUGAGUAACCUGCCCUUGACUUUGGGAUAACUUCAGUAAACUGGGGCGAAUACCGGAUAUGAGCUCCUGCUGCAUGGUGGGGGUGGGAAAGUUUCGGCGGUUGGGGAUGGACUCGCGGCUUAUCAGCUUGUUGGUGGGGUAGUGGCUUACCAAGGCUUUGACGGGUAGCCGGCCUGAGAGGGUGACCGGCCACAUUGGGACUGAGAUACGGCCCAGACUCCUACUGGAGGCAGCAGUGGGGAAUAUUGCACAAUGGGCGGAAGGCUGAAGCAGCAACGCCGCGUGCGAGAUGACGGUCUUCGGGUUGUAAACCGCUUUAGCGUGUGACGAAGAGUGAGUGACGGUAAUGGGUAAAGAAGCACCGGCUAACUACGUG
rnacentral:rRNA from 1 species